UUCUGGUUGAUCCUGCCGGACCUGACUGCUAUCGGAUUGAUACUAAGCCAUGCGAGUCUUUGUAGUAAUACAAGGCAGACGGCUCAGUAACACGUAGUCAACCCACCCUAUGGACGAGAAUAAUCUCGGGAAACUGAGCAUAAUUCUUGAUAGAUCAUAAUGCCUGGAAUGGUUUAUGGUUAAAAUGAUUCGUCGCCAUAGGAUGGGACUGCGGCCUAUCAGCUUGUUGGUGAGGUAAUGGCCCACCAAGGCGAUUACAGGUACGGGCUCUGAGAGGAGAAGCCCGGAGAUGGGUACUGAGACACGGACCCAGGCCCUAUGGGGCGCAGCAGGCGAGAAAACUUUGCAAUGUGCGAAAGCACGACAAGGUUAAUCCGAGUGAUUUCUGCUAAAGAAAUCUUUUGCCAGUCGUAAAACCGCUGGUGAAUAAGGGGUGGGCAAGUUCUGGUGCCAGCAGCCGCGGUAAU
rnacentral:rRNA from 1 species